rnacentral:rRNA from 1 species
UACGAAGGGGGCUAGCGUUGUUCGGAAUUACUGGGCGUAAAGCGCGCGCAGGCGGUUUUCCAAGUCAGUGGUGAAAGCCCGGAGCUCAACUCCGGAACUGCCAUUGAAAUUGUUGAACUUGAGGACGAGAGAGGUGAGUGGAAUUCCCAGUGUAGAGGUGAAAUUCGUAGAUAUUGGGAAGAACACCGGUGGCGAAGGCGGCUCACUGGCUCGUUUCUGACGCUCAGGCGCGAUAGCGUGGGGAUCAAACAGG